UACGGAGGGUGCAAGCGUUAAUCGGAAUUACUGGGCGUAAAGCGUGCGCAGGCGGUUGUGCAAGACAGAUGUGAAAUCCCCGGGCUUAACCUGGGAACUGCAUUUGUGACUGCACAGCUGGAGUGCGGCAGAGGGGGAUGGAAUUCCGCGUGUAGCAGUGAAAUGCGUAGAUAUGCGGAGGAACACCGAUGGCGAAGGCAAUCCCCUGGGCCUGCACUGACGCUCAUGCACGAAAGCGUGGGGAGCAAACAGG
rnacentral:rRNA from 1 species